UACGUAGGGGGCAAGCGUUGUCCGGAUUUAUUGGGCGUAAAGCGCACGCAGGCGGUCUUGUAAGUUUCGAGUGACAGGUGGUGGCUUAACUGCCACAGGCCUUGGAAAACUGCAAGACUUGAGGACUUCAGAGGGAUGCGGAAUUCCAGGUGGAGCGGUGAAAUGCGUAGAGCUCGGGAAGAACAUCGGUGGCGAAAGCGCUCUGCUGGACUGCAACUGACACACAGGGACGAAAGCUAGGGGAGCGAAUGGG
rnacentral:rRNA from 1 species